rnacentral:rRNA from 1 species
ACCGAAUAGAUACCCAGGUAGUCCACGCCGUAAACGAUGGAUGCUAGCUGUUAGGAGUAUCGACCCUUCUAGUAGCGAAAGCUAACGCGUUAAGCAUCCCGCCUGGGGAGUACGGUCGCAAGAUUAAAACUCAAAGGAAUUGACGGGGACCCGCACAAGCGGUGGAGCGUGUUCUUUAAAAUUCGAUGAUAAGCGAAGAACCUUACCAGGACUUGACAUCCAGGGAAGGCACUACGAAAGUAGAGUGUGCCUUUUGGUAACCCUGUGACAGGUGCUGCAUGGCCGUCGUCAGCUCGUGUCGUGAGAUGUUUGGUUAAGUCCAUUAACG